UCGAGUCAUCAAUUCAGGAGCUCAUCUCACCCGCAACAAGCUGCCUUCAGAACUCUCUCACCAGAUUGAAUAGCCUUUCACAUAUUGCAGGCUGCUUCCCAAGCUAAACUAGUCAAGAUGAUGAUCAAAGUAGCUCUUGUGCUCUGUGCUAUUGUGGCAACCAGUAUGGUGUGCGCCAAGGAUGUUGAAGAGCAAGAUGCAGUGGACACCUUGCUGAAUCUGAUGCUCUCGGAGGAGGCUGCAUCUCCUGAUGACGCCGUAGCCUUGCAGCGCCAUCACCGUCAUCACCAUCAUGGCCAUCAUGGAAGGGACCAUGAGGCAACAUCCGAAUGAUGAUUCUUCCUGAAGAAACAAUGAAAUAAAAGCAAGAAAUUAUCACCUUCCAUCGUGUUUUUGCAACUUCCUAAUAUAAUUCGAAUCUUCUUUAUCACUUCUGUAUUGUUUAAACCCUUAAACCAUGUUAAUCCUCUAAAAUCAAAUGAUGGUGAGUGGUUUUCAUUAUUAAUACAUAUUUUGCCUUUACUUCCAUGUAUCCAUUCAUUAUACAUCUUUCCGAGGUGUAUACAAAUUAUGUAGGGUUACAAGUACAACCAUUCUUAAAAUCUAGCAUAAUAAUACAUCUUUUCAUCAUAAGCUUCAAGUUAAAAAUCUGGUUUUACUCUUUUUUUUGCCCUAAAAAACAAUAAGACAUUGUAAGCAUGGUAUUAGGGGAAUAACUAAUAGUAUUAGAAAUAAUACUGAUAAUAAAAUCACAUGAACAUGAAAAACAUA